rnacentral:tRNA from 1 species
UCCCUGGUGGUUCAGUGGCUAAGAGCUCUGAGCUCCCAAUGCAGAGGGCUCAGGUUCAAUCCCUGGUCAGGGAA